CUGAUGGAGCACGCCGCGUGAGUGAAGAAGGGUUUCGGCUCGUAAAACUCUGUUGUUAAAGAAGAACAUAUCUGAGAGUAACUGUUCAGGUAUUGACGGUAUUUAACCAGAAAGCCACGGCUAACUACGUGCCAGCAGCCGCGGUAAUACGUAGGUGGCAAGCGUUGUCCGGAUUUAUUGGGCGUAAAGCGAGCGCAGGCGGUUUUUUAAGUCUGAUGUGAAAGCCUUCGGCUCAACCGAAGAAGUGCAUCGGAAACUGGGAAACUUGAGUGCAGAAGAGGACAGUGGAACUCCAUGUGUAGCGGUGAAAUGCGUAGAUAUAUGGAAGAACACCAGUGGCGAAGGCGGCUGUCUGGUCUGUAACUGACGCUGAGGCUCGAAAGUAUGGGUAGCAAACAGGAUUAGAUACCCUGGUAGUCCAUACCGUAAACGAUGAAUGCUAAGUGUUGGAGGGUUUCCGCCCUUCAGUGCUGCAGCUAACGCAUUAAGCAUUCCGCCUGGGGAGUACGGCCGCAAGGCUGAAACUCAAAGGAAUUGACGGGGGCCCGCACAAGCGGUGGAGCAUGUGGUUUAAUUCGAAGCUACGCGAAGAACCUUACCAGGUCUUGACAUACUAUGCAAAUCUAAGAGAUUAGACGUUCCCUUCGGGGACAUGGAUACAGGUGGUGCAUGGUUGUCGUCAGCUCGUGUCGUGAGAUGUUGGGGUUAAGUCCCGCAACGAGCGCAACCCUUAUUAUCAGUUGCCAGCAUUAAGUUGGGCACUCUGGUGAGACUGCCGGUGACAACCGGAAGAAGGUGGGGAUGACGUCCAAUCAUCAUG
rnacentral:rRNA from 2 species